GAUUAAGCCAUGCAAGUCAGGGGCCUUAAAACCCCGGCGACAUGCUCAGUAACACGUCGGUAAUCUGCCCUUAGGAUGGGAAUAACCUUGGGAAACUGAGGCUAAUGCCCAAUAGGAAAAUAUACCUGGAAUGGUCAUUUUCUUAAAGAUUUAUCGCCUAAGGAUGAGUCGGCGGCGGAUUAGGUUGUUGGCGAGGUAACGGCUCACCAAGCCAAAGAUCCGUACGGGCCUUGAGAGAGGUAGCCCGGAGAAGGACACUGAGAAACUGGUCCUAGCCCUACGGGGUGCAGCAGGCGCGAAACCUUUACACUGCACGAAAGUGUGAUAAGGGAAUCCUAAGUGCUCAUGCACAGCAUGGGCUUUUGCCAAGCGUAAAUAGCUUGGAGAAUAAGUGGUGGGUAAGACUGGUGCCAGCAGCCGCGGUAACCCCAGCGCCACAAGUGGCAACCACAUUUACUUGGUCUAAAGCGUCCGUAGCUGGUAUGUAAAUCUUUUGUGAAAUUGUCAAGCUUAACUUGACAGCGCGCAAAAGACACUGCAAAACUUGAGACCGGGAGAGGUUAGGAGUAUUUCUUGGGGACCGGUAAAAUGGGAUAAUCCAAGAAAGACUACCAGUGGCGAAGGCGCCUAACCAGAACGGUUCUGACAGUGAGGGACGAAGGCUAGGGGAGCGAACCGGAUUAGAUACCCGAGUAGUCCUAGCAGUAAACGCUGUGAAUUAGGUGUUGCACAACUUAUCAAGGUUGUGCAGUGUCGAAGAGAAGUCGUUAAAUUCACCACCUGGGAAGUAUGGUCGCAAGACUGAAACUUAAAGGAAUUGGCGGGGGAGCACCACAACGGGUGCGGCGUGCGGUUUAAUCUAACUCAACACAGAGAAUCUCACCAGGGGCGACGGCAGUAUGAAGGUCAGUCUGAAGGGCUUACCCAACGAGCCGAGAGGUGGUGCAUGGCCGUCGGCAGCUCGUACCGUGAGGCGUCCUCUUAAGUGAGGCAACGAGCGAGACCUGUGCAUACAAUUGCCAACGAGUAUCUUCGGAUAUGAUCGUGCGCAAUGUAUGGACUGCCCUGGAAACAGGGAGGAAGGUGCAGGCUACGAUAGGUCUGUAUGCCACGAAUCUCCUGGGCUACACGCGCGCAACAAUGGUAUAGACAAUGGGAUGCAACUCCGAAAGGAGAAGCUAAACCUCUAAACUAUAUCCUAGUCCAAAUUGAGGACUGUAACUCGUCCUCAUGACGUCGGAAUCCGUAGUAAUCCCGUGUCAUAAGCGCGGGGUGAAUAUGUCCCUGCUCCUUGUACACACCGCCCGUCAUCCCAUCCGAGCAUAACUUGGGUGAGUCAUGACUUAUUGGUCAUGCCAAAUCUAAGUUAAGUGAGGCGGGGCAAGUCGUCACAAGGUA
rnacentral:rRNA from 1 species